rnacentral:rRNA from 1 species
GACGAACGCUGGCGGCGUGCCUAAUACAUGCAAGUCGAACGCUGAAGCUUGGUGCUUGCACCGAGCGGAUGAGUUGCGCACGGGUGAGUAACGCGUAGGUAACCUGCCUGGUAGCGGGGGAUAACUAUUGGAAACGAUAGCUAAUACCGCAUAAGAGUAGAUGUUGCAUGACAUUUUCUUAAAAGGUGCAAUUGCAUCACUACCUGAUGGACCUGCGGUGUAUUAGCUAGUUGGUGAGGUAACGGCUCACCAAGGCAACGAUACAUAGCCGACCUGAGAGGGUGAUCGGCCACACUGGGACCGAGACAAGGCCCAGACUCCUACGGGAGGCAGCAGGAGGGAAUCUUCGGGAAUGGACGGAAGUCUGACCGAGCAACGCCGAGGGAGGGAAGAAGGUUGUCGGAUCGGAAAGCUCUGUUGUAAGGGAAGAACGAGGGUGAGAGUGGAAAGUUCACACUGUGACGGUAUCUUAUCAGAAAGCGACGGCUAACUACGUG